UGUUGGGAUCAUUAUCAUCAUCAUCAUCAUCUUCAUCAUCUUCGUCUGUGUGUCUGUGUACUACAGCAGGGUGAAAGCUCUCAGAUGUGCCUCGAACUCCACUGAAAAGGUGGAGAGUUUACAGAAACAUGGCAACCCUCCCUGCCUACUUUGGGUCACUGUCAUUUUAAAGGAUGGAAACACACAUCAUCACAGUGUUCAGUACAACACAACGUCCGACAGUGUGAUGUACACAACAGUCAACACACAAACACAGAGUUAAUGACCAACACAAGAUGGUCUGCUCUGAUCUCAUCAUGGAUUUCAGAUCAUCUUAAACUUCAUCCCUGAGUCACAGCUGAUGUUCAUCUCUGGAGCUUCAUCACCAUGUCAGGAUCUUCUGAUUUACUGCAGAACUCUCAGUUCACACAUCAUGGACCAUCAGUUACUCUUCUAUCUAACCUGACUUGGUCUUUGUCAUGUGAUGUUACACUAAAUAAUGAACUGAGAACAGCUUUAAUUUUUACAUUUACAUUUCUACACGUAAAUCUUAAUAUUACUAUUUUUAUAAGAUUUUAUCCUCAUCAAGACAAAAAAGAAAAACCCUACAAGGAAUUAAAUAUCAAAACGAACAAUUACAAUAGGAACAUAAAAUAAAUAAGUAAAAUAAAAAAUAUAAAAUAAAGAUUACAUAAUAAUAAACUUCAAUUAGAUAAUAUUUUGAUAAUACAGUAAUAACUGCAGCAAUUCAGUGUUCUUUAAACUUGUUUUUCUCCAAAGUUAUUCUGCUGUAAAGUCCACUUGAUCGCAGAAGUGUAGAAAGUUAGUCCAGAUUUUAUAAAAGUAAUUUAACUUCCCUUUGAUAGCAAAUGUCAGUUUUUCCAAAGCAAGGUUUAAGGACAUUUCCUUGAUCCAUUGGUUAGAAAAAUGUCUUUGAGUGUCUUUCCACUUUAAUGCAAUGACACGUUUGGCCUGUAGAAAACUAAAGUCUAUUAGUUUACGUUUUCUUGCAUUUACGACCAGAUUUAUUGGGUAUAGAUGGAAUACAUACAGUUUUAGUUUAAGAGGAACAUUAUCUCCAAUUAACUGACCGAUCAUAGUAAGAAUUUCCUUCCAAAAUGUUUGAAGCUCUUUACAGUCCCAUACACAGUGGGAAAGUUUACCAACUUCAUCUUUGCACUUUGUACAGUUGUCAGGGAUAUUGGGAUUGAACCUAUUUGAUUUUACAAGAGUAAUGUACUGUAUGUCCUUAAAAGCUAUUUGUAUUGCAGUAGUUUGCACCUUGUGUUAAUGCUCUGGGUUUGAGCAAACAGACGAUUCUUCCCAUUCUUCUUUCGAAAUAUCUUCCUGCAGAUCAUUUUUCCAUGCUGCCAAGUAAGAUAAAGAAUUAUCUUUUGAUCCCUCUAAGAGUAUGUUAUAAAACAAUGAUAAAUUGACCCUAGCAUUUGGCAGUGGCAGCUUGGUGGAGCUGGGGUUCGAACCCAUGACCUUCCGAUUAGUAGCCCUACACCUUAACCACUGUGCUUCCACAUCCCACAGUCCCAUACACAGUGGGAAAGUUUACCAACUUCAUCUUUGCACUUUGUACAGUUGUCAGGGAUAUUGAGAUUGAACCUAUUUAAGUUUACAUGAGUACUGUACUGUAUGUUUGAGAAAAUAGUAUU